GAUGAACGCUGGCUACAGGCUUAACACAUGCAAGUCGAGGGGAAGCGCCGGGGAAGCUUGCUUCCCCGGGCGUCGACCGGCGCACGGGUGAGUAACGCGUAUCCAACCUGCCUCUGACUGAGGGAUAACCCGUCGAAAGUCGGCCUAAUACCUCAUGGUAUCGUCUGCGGGCAUCCAACGACGAUUAAAGAUUUCAUCGGUCAGGGAUGGGGAUGCGUCUGAUUAGCUUGUUGGCGGGGUAACGGCCCACCAAGGCGACGAUCAGUAGGGGUUCUGAGAGGAAGGUCCCCCACAUUGGAACCGGGACACGGGCCAAACUCCUACGGGCGGCAGCAGUGAGGAAUAUUGGUCAAUGGGCGAGUGCCUGAACCAGCCAAGUAGCGUGCAGGAAGACGGCCCUAUGGGUUGUAAACUGCUUUUAUGCGGGGAUAAAGUGAGGGACGUGUCCCUCAUUGCAGGUACCGGAUGAAUAAGGACCGGCUAAUUCCGUG
rnacentral:rRNA from 1 species